rnacentral:misc_RNA from 1 species
AACGCACAUUGCGCCUAUUGGUAUUCCAAUAGGCAUGCCUGUUCGAGCGUCAUUUAAACCUUCAAGCUCUGCUUGGUGUUGGGCACUGUUCGUCUUGCGAACUUGCCUUGAAUAAAUUGGCAGCCUGCAAUUGGGUGUUGGAGCGCAGUACAUUUUGCGUUCUUGGCCAUAAUAGCCGGCGACCAGAAAGCUUAUCUUAACGUUUGACCUCGGAUCAGGUAGGGAUACCCGCUGAACUUAA